AGGACGAACGCUGGCGGCAUGCCUAACACAUGCAAGUCGAACGCUCAUCUUCGGAUGGGAGUGGCGCACGGGUGAGUAACGCGUGGGAACCUGCCCCGAGGUUCGGGAUAACCGAUGGAAACGUCGGCUAAUACCGGAUACGUCCUAAGGGAGAAAGAUUUAUCGCCUUGGGAGGGGCCCGCGUCGGAUUAGCUAGUUGGUGGGGUAACGGCCUACCAAGGCGAUGAUCCGUAGCUGGUCUGAGAGGAUGAUCAGCCACACUGGGACUGAGACACGGCCCAGACUCCUACGGGAGGCAGCAGUGGGGAAUAUUGGACAAUGGGCGCAAGCCUGAUCCAGCAAUGCCGCGUGAGUGAUGAAGGCCUUAGGGUUGUAAAGCUCUUUCGGCGGGACGAUGAUGACGGUACCCGCAGAAGAAGCCCCGGCUAACUUCGUGCCAGCAGCCGC
rnacentral:rRNA from 1 species